AGAUUCCCGAUUAACCGCGGAAUUGAGUGUUGCCACGUAUAGCAAAAAUAACGCGAUAAAGAACUAAAAAUGGAGUGCAAACAUGACAAAAAAAGACCGGUAAAAAUCGCAAAAGAAAUAAGUGCAACAGAAAUGACCGCAGAGAAAAAAAACGUAAUGUCACAGCUUCUAAGCGUAGAUAACAAUUUAUUUACAUAUUAUAUGGCACGUUGGAGCAGCGUAACAGUAACGAAAAUCAACGAGUGGAAAAACUAAAAUUAAUCAACAAAAAUAAAGUCCGUGCUCCGCUUGUUCGUAAGGAUUUCACCAACAGCACUUCCUCGCGAUCGAAUUUUUCAGAAGUACUCUAGCGAAAACACCACACAAGGGAGUACCGAAAGACAAAAAAGACGGGUGGGUAAUGUCGGGGACAUAACCGGAGUGACGUAGGACUAUACAAAGGGG